UGAGAUAGGGGGGAAGACUGUGAGAUCGGGAGAGAGGGGGGUUCGGUGGAUCCGUGAGUGGGUGACCCGACGGGGCGGUUUGUGGACCCGUGAGCCCAGGAGCUCCCAUCCUCCAUGAUCGGCAGCUGGGAUUGAAGUCCGGCGAUGGAGGAGCUCUAAUCGUGAAGCCGUGAAGUCCGUGCGACCCGCCAAACCCGCAACCUGAUCCUCUGAAGCCGUGAAUCAUUGAACCCGAGUGAGACCCGGUUCUCCAUGGCGGUUUUUCGGCGAUGUCCGGUGAUUCUAGCAGUGGUUUCCGGCGAGUUGUGACCUGUGUGCAGCAACCCAGACGAAGACCCGAAGCCCCUGACCCAUCAGACCCGAGAGGAAGACCCGGUUUUUAAGCAUUUUCCGGCGACUUUUCCGGCGGAAUCAGUGGCUUUUCCGGUGGAUUUUCUAUGAAAAUCCUUGGGGUAAAAGGUCGAUUCUGACGCUAAUGGAAAGUCCAGAUGUCAACAGUAAGACGAAGUCUUUUCCUUGUAAGGGCAUAGACCUUGCUGAGAGCGAUAGUUCGUGAUGAACCGGCCGGACCCUAGUUUUGUAUAGUAUGUUUUGUUUCUUUUAGAGAAUUCAAAGUGUUAUUAAUAGAAAGGUUUAAAAAUAGGAAGUUUUAAAUUUAUAUGUUGUAAAUGCACGCUUCCAUUUUAAAUAUUUACUUUUAGUACUCAAGUUCGCGUUUCCCUUAUUUCCCAAAACGGGGGCGUGACAAUUCCUAAGCAGAAUAUUGUAAGGUUUGCAACAUCCUAACUAUCUAAAUAAUUGAUUAAGGCAAA